UACGUAGGGGGCAAGCGUUGUCUGGAUUUAUUGGGCGUAAAGAGCGUGUAGGCGGCCAGGUAGGUCGGUUGUGAAAACUGGAGGCUCAACCUUCAGACGUCGACCGAAACCCCCUGGCUAGAGUCCGGAAGAGGAGAGUGGAAUUCCUGGUGUAGCGGUGAAAUGCGCAGAUAUCAGGAAGAACACCCGUGGCGAAGGCGGCUCUCUGGGACGGUACUGACGCUGAGACGCGAAAGCGUGGGGAGCGAACAGG
rnacentral:rRNA from 1 species